rnacentral:rRNA from 2 species
UUAAGCGACUAAGCGUACACGGUGGAUGCCCUGGCAGUCAGAGGCGAUGAAGGACGUGCUAAUCUGCGAAAAGCGUCGGUAAGGUGAUAUGAACCGUUAUAACCGGCGAUGUCCGAAUGGGGAAACCCAGUGCAAUUCGUUGCACUAUCGUUAACUGAAUACAUAGGUUAACGAGGCGAACCGGGGGAACUGAAACAUCUAAGUACCCCGAGGAAAAGAAAUCAACCGAGAUUCCCCCAGUAGCGGCGAGCGAACGGGGAGCAGCCCAGAGUCUGAAUCAGCUUGUGUGUUAGUGGAACGGUCUGGAAAGUCCGACGGUACAGGGUGAUAGUCCCGUACACCAAAAUGCACAGGCUGUGAACUCGAAGAGUAGGGCGGGACACGUGGUAUCCUGUCUGAAUAUGGGGGGACCAUCCUCCAAGGCUAAAUACUCCUGACUGACCGAUAGUGAACCAGUACCGUGAGGGAAAGGCGAAAAGAACCCCGGCGAGGGGAGUGAAAAAGAACCUGAAACCGUGUACGUACAAGCAGUGGGAGCACCUUCGGGUGUGACUGCGUACCUUUUGUAUAAUGGGUCAGCGACUUAUAUUCUGUAGCAAGGUUAACCGUAUAGGGGAGCCGCAGGGAAACCGAGUCUUAACUGGGCGUUAAGUUGCAGGGUAUAGACCCGAAACCCGGUGAUCUAGCCAUGGGCAGGUUGAAGGUUGGGUAACACUAACUGGAGGACCGAACCGACUAAUGUUGAAAAAUUAGCGGAUGACUUGUGGCUGGGGGUGAAAGGCCAAUCAAACCGGGAGAUAGCUGGUUCUCCCCGAAAGCUAUUUAGGUAGCGCCUCGUGAAUUCAUCUUCGGGGGUAGAGCACUGUUUCGGCUAGGGGGUCAUCCCGACUUACCAACCCGAUGCAAACUACGAAUACCGAAGAAUGUUAUCACGGGAGACACACGGCGGGUGCUAACGUCCGUCGUGAAGAGGGAAACAACCCAGACCGCCAGCUAAGGUCCCAAAGUCAUGGUUAAGUGGGAAACGAUGUGGGAAGGCACAGACAGCCAGGAUGUUGGCUUAGAAGCAGCCAUCAUUUAAAGAAAGCGUAAUAGCUCACUGGUCGAGUCGGCCUGCGCGGAAGAUGUAACGGGGCUAAACCAUGCACCGAAGCUGCGGCAGCGACACUAUGUGUUGUUGGGUAGGGGAGCGUUCUGUAAGCCUGCGAAGGUGACCUGUGAGGGUUGCUGGAGGUAUCAGAAGUGCGAAUGCUGACAUAAGUAACGAUAAAGCGGGUGAAAAGCCCGCUCGCCGGAAGACCAAGGGUUCCUGUCCAACGUUAAUCGGGGCAGGGUGAGUCGACCCCUAAGGCGAGGCCGAAAGGCGUAGUCGAUGGGAAACAGGUUAAUAUUCCUGUACUUGGUGUUACUGCGAAGGGGGGACGGAGAAGGCUAUGUUAGCCGGGCGACGGUUGUCCCGGUUUAAGCAUGUAGGCUGGUUGUCCAGGCAAAUCCGGAUAAUCAAGGCUGAGGUGUGAUGACGAGGCACUACGGUGCUGAAGUAACAAAUGCCCUGCUUCCAGGAAAAGCCUCUAAGCAUCAGGUAACAUUAAAUCGUACCCCAAACCGACACAGGUGGUCAGGUAGAGAAUACCAAGGCGCUUGAGAGAACUCGGGUGAAGGAACUAGGCAAAAUGGUGCCGUAACUUCGGGAGAAGGCACGCUGGUGUGUAGGUGAAGUCCCUGCGGAUGGAGCUGAGACCAGUCGAAGAUACCAGCUGGCUGCAACUGUUUAUUAAAAACACAGCACUGUGCAAACACGAAAGUGGACGUAUACGGUGUGACGCCUGCCCGGUGCCGGAAGGUUAAUUGAUGGGGUUAUCCGUAAGGAGAAGCUCUUGAUCGAAGCCCCGGUAAACGGCGGCCGUAACUAUAACGGUCCUAAGGUAGCGAAAUUCCUUGUCGGGUAAGUUCCGACCUGCACGAAUGGCGUAAUGAUGGCCAGGCUGUCUCCACCCGAGACUCAGUGAAAUUGAACUCGCUGUGAAGAUGCAGUGUACCCGCGGCAAGACGGAAAGACCCCGUGAACCUUUACUAUAGCUUGACACUGAACAUUGAGCCUUGAUGUGUAGGAUAGGUGGGAGGCUUUGAAGCGUGGACGCCAGUCUGCGUGGAGCCAACCUUGAAAUACCACCCUUUAAUGUUUGAUGUUCUAACGUUGGCCCCUUACCGGGGUUGCGGACAGUGUCUGGUGGGUAGUUUGACUGGGGCGGUCUCCUCCCAAAGCGUAACGGAGGAGCACGAAGGUUAGCUAAUCCUGGUCGGACAUCAGGAGGUUAGUGCAAUGGCAUAAGCUAGCUUGACUGCGAGCGUGACGGCGCGAGCAGGUGCGAAAGCAGGUCAUAGUGAUCCGGUGGUUCUGAAUGGAAGGGCCAUCGCUCAACGGAUAAAAGGUACUCCGGGGAUAACAGGCUGAUACCGCCCAAGAGUUCAUAUCGACGGCGGUGUUUGGCACCUCGAUGUCGGCUCAUCACAUCCUGGGGCUGAAGUAGGUCCCAAGGGUAUGGCUGUUCGCCAUUUAAAGUGGUACGCGAGCUGGGUUUAGAACGUCGUGAGACAGUUCGGUCCCUAUCUGCCGUGGGCGCUGGAGAAUUGAGGGGGGCUGCUCCUAGUACGAGAGGACCGGAGUGGACGCAUCACUGGUGUUCGGGUUGUCAUGCCAAUGGCACUGCCCGGUAGCUAAAUGCGGAAGAGAUAAGUGCUGAAAGCAUCUAAGCACGAAACUUGCCCCGAGAUGAGUUCUCCCUGAGACUUUAAGUCUCCUGAAGGAACGUUAAAGACGAUGACGUUGAUAGGCCGGGUGUGUAAGCGCAGCGAUGCGUUGAGCUAACCGGUACUAAUGAACCGUGAGGCUUAACCUU